AUAAUGUGUUUCUUACGGGUCCGCUUGGGCCACGCUUGAUGGAUGGCCUUACAGAAGCCGGGUCAAUUAGCCCAGGCUGAAUUUGCCUUCAUGUGGGCUGCAGACAGCACUGGGAGAGCCUCAACCUCUGUCACGCGGCCUGGCUGUAAUUAAUCACCAGCGCGAAGCCUUCUCACCUCACGCAGCCGCGCGCACAAACAGCCGAUUCUUACGUUUGGCCCAAAUUACAUCUCCACUCCUUUAAUCUGGCUAAUUGUCAGUAUGGUCGCCAGAGGAGUAAAAGGUUGUUAUAAAGCACCUUCCUGGCAUCAAACCGGUCUACUAGAGCAGCCUUCUCCAAGACCCGAAUAGAAGAGCUGAGCUUUUUCACCAGCAGUCAUUCAGCUCUGAAGAGGCCUGGUGACGAGCCGUUCAUUUAAGACAGGAACUCGGGGCAUGGAGGCAUCGUACAGAGACGUCACUCUGCGUUCACUGAAUACACUCCUGUGGACCGGACAAAAGCAGCAGGCUGACAGAUGAGGUUUCUGUCUGGGGAUCUCUGUGUUGCUUUAC